AAUUAAUAUUCUAAAGAUCUAAAGUCUUAAUAUUCUUAUGAGUUAAGACUUCAAUCAUAAUUUACAACAAUCACAUUCCUUAAAACAUCUCCAAAUAGUCAUUUCAAUCUUAUUCUACCACAUUCUUUUUAAACUUCUUAUUACAUUGUUUAUCUUCUAUGUUAUGUAACAUCUUUGAAGUAAAAAAUCAAUCAUAUUAUUAUAUAGCUCAAUAACUAACGUAGUUCCAUGAUCUUUGAAAUUAUAUUCACAAAGCUGAUUUCUUACACAAUCACAAAAAAACAACAUGAAUCAAAAAUUAUUGCAACAUGAUAUUACAUGAACCAAAUCAAAUCAAAACUCCCAUCCAUAUUAAUGUAUAUGAUAAUAAUCUAACAAAAUUAAUUUUCCACGUAUAAGUUUUAUAAUGAAUACUCUUUUUUUUUAACAUACCUAAAUCCAUUACAAUCCUAAUUGCAAGAACACAUGAAUGUAACUCCUGCAC
rnacentral:lncRNA from 1 species